UGUGUGUGUGUAUGUGUGUCCAUUAUAACCUUGGUCCAACUAAAAAUAAAGUGGGAUCGGAGCUGGCCGUCCCGCGGAGCAGCCCGAGAGGCUGCAAUCAGAGCAUUGUGAUUAGUGGUCAGAGCUGCUGUCAAAGGAGCGUGACCAGGUCAUCUUCCCCAGGACUACGGCAGCUCCAGUGAAGACAAAACGUAGGGCUUCUGUGACCUUUGCUAUUUCUAUUGUUAGGCUUUUAGUUUUAAUCCAAAAAUAUGCAGGAUUUACAGUUAUUGUUGUCAGAAACUUCCAGAAGAAUCAACAAAGUGAAGUGGAAAGAAGCACAUCAGGGAGGUCCGGCCUCGGGGUUUGGCCCCUGGUCUUCCAUCUGCUUGGAAUCUGCUUUGGACACGUAUCCGCCCGGCUUGUUGGAACCCCAGAGGAGUGGGAACCAGACUUCUCCCACCCCAGGAAGACAGUGCUGGUUCAAAAUCCUUCAUUGGCCAAAAGGACAGUUUUACGCACAAGAAAAUGCAGGAGAACAGAAACAGGAAUCAUUGGCACGAACCCAAAAGAGAGAUGUGACAACAGAAGAAGCGUCAGAGAGAUGCACCAUUGCUGGUGUUGAAGAUGGAGGGAGGGACCACAAGCCAAGGAAUGUGAGCAGCCUCUAGAAAGGCAAGAAAAUGGGUUCUCUCC
rnacentral:lncRNA from 1 species